rnacentral:rRNA from 1 species
UACGUAGGGGCGAGCGUUGUCCGGAAUGAUUGGGCGUAAAGGGCGCGUAGGCGGCUUUGCAAGUCAGUAGUGGAAGUCCAUUUUUCAAGGAUGGAAGUGCUACAGAAACUGCGGAGCUUGAGUGCAGGAGAGGUUAUCGGAAUUCCCGGUGUAGCGGUGAAAUGCGUAGAGAUCGGGAGGAACACCAGUGGCGAAGGCGGGUAACUGGACUGCAACUGACGCUGAGGAGCGAAAGUGUGGGGAGCAAACGGAUUAGAUACCCCCGGUAGU